rnacentral:rRNA from 1 species
UACGAAGGGGGCUAGCGUUACUCGGAUUGACUGGGCGUAAAGGGCGCGUAGGCGGCUUGUACAGUCAGACGUGAAAUUCCUGGGCUCAACCUGGGGGCUGCGUUUGAUACGUGCGGGCUUGAGUUCGGAAGAGGGUCGUGGAAUUCCCAGUGUAGAGGUGAAAUUCGUAGAUAUUGGGAAGAACACCGGUGGAGAAGGCGGCGACCUGGUCCGAUACUGACGCUGAGGCGCGAAAGCGUGGGGAGCAAACAGG